UUCAACAGAAACAACCCUAAUAUCAAGCAAUAGUAUACAAUUAACAAACACUCAAAAUAACCCUAAUAUCAAGCAAUAUGAAGCACUCAAAACACUCAAGGUGCACUCCUCUGACUACUCUCCCCACUUCGUCCUCGUCCACUUCGGCCCCGUCCACCUCGUCCCCGUCCACCGCGUCUAGUGUGCCCUUGCAACUCCUACAAUCAAAUAUAAAUACAAUUAAAACUUAAUAACUAAAAUUAAUAAAUUUUAGGGUUUAACUGUAAUAGUAAUUAAUAAUUACUUACCAAGGCCUCUAAUGUGCUUGUCAGCUUAACAACCCUAGAAGC
rnacentral:lncRNA from 1 species